rnacentral:rRNA from 1 species
GCAGUGGGGAAUCUUGCGCAAUGGGCGAAAGCCUGACGCAGCAACGCCGCGUGCGGGAUGACGGCCUUCGUGGUUGUAAACCGCUUUCAGCAGGGACGAAACUGGCGGUACCUGCAGAAGAAGCCCCGGCUAACUACGUGCCAGCAGCUGCGGUAAUACGUAGGGGGCAAGCGUUGUCCGGAUUUACUGGGUGUAAAGGGCGCGCAGGCGGGAUAGCAAGUCAGAGGUGAAAUCCUACAGCUUAACUGUAGAACUGCCUUUGAUACUGUUAUUCUUGAGUUCGGGAGAGAGAGACGGAAUUCCAGGUGUAGUGGUGAAAUACGUAGAUAUCUGGAAGAACACCAGUUGCGAAGGCGGUCUCUUGGUCCGAUACUGACGCUGAGGCGCGAAAGCGUGGGGAGCAAA